rnacentral:miRNA from 1 species
CACAACUCUGGGAAGUACCAUUU